rnacentral:rRNA from 1 species
UACGAAGGGGGCUAGCGUUGCUCGGAAUCACUGGGCGUAAAGGGUGCGUAGGCGGGUCUUUAAGUCAGGGGUGAAAUCCUGGAGCUCAACUCCAGAACUGCCUUUGAUACUGAAGGUCUUGAGUUCGGGAGAGGUGAGUGGAACUGCGAGUGUAGAGGUGAAAUGCGUAGAUAUUGGGAGGAACACCAGUGGCGAAGGCGGCUCACUGGACCGGAACUGACGCUGAGGCGCGAAAGCGUGGGGAGCAAACAGG